rnacentral:rRNA from 1 species
AUUGAACGCUGGCGGCAUGCUUUACACAUGCAAGUCGAACGGUAACAGGCCUUCGGGUGCUGACGAGUGGCGAACGGGUGAGUAAUGCAUCGGAACGUACCCAGAGGUGGGGGAUAACGCAGCGAAAGCUGUGCUAAUACUGCAUGUGAUCUGAGGAUGAAAGCGGGGGACCGAGCAGCAAUGUUUGGCCUCGCGCCUUUGGAGCGGCCGAUGUCGGAUUAGCUAGUUGGUGGGGUAAAGGCCUACCAAGGCGACGAUCCGUAGCUGGUCUGAGAGGACGACCAGCCACACUGGGACUGAGACACGGCCCAGACUCCUACGGGAGGCAGCAGUGGGGAAUAUUGGACAAUGGGCGCAAGCCUGAUCCAGCAAUGCCGCGUGCGGGAAGAAGGCCUUCGGGUUGUAAACCGCUUUUGGCAGGAACGAAACGGUGUCCGCUAAUACCGGGCGCUAAUGACGGUACCUGCAGAAUAAGCACCGGCUAACUACGUG